rnacentral:rRNA from 1 species
UCAAAACGGAGAGUUUGAUCCUGGCUCAGGAUGAACGCUGGCGGUAUGCUUAACACAUGCAAGUCGAACGGGCUCUUCGGAGCUAGUGGCGGACGGGUGAGUAACGCGUGAGAAUCUGGCUUCAGGUUCGGGACAACAGUUGGAAACGGCUGCUAAUACCGGAUGUGCCUGUGGGUGAAAGAUUUAUCACCUGAAGAUGAGCUCGCGUCUGAUUAGCUAGUAGGUGUGGUAAGAGCGCACCUAGGCGACGAUCAGUAGCUGGUCUGAGAGGAUGACCAGCCACACUGGGACUGAGACACGGCCCAGACUCCUACGGGAGGCAGCAGUGGGGAAUUUUCCGCAAUGGGCGAAAGCCUGACGGAGCAAUACCGCGUGAGGGAGGAAGGCUCUUGGGUUGUAAACCUCUUUUCUCAGGGAAGAAUUCAUGACGGUACCUGAGGAAUCAGCAUCGGCUAACUCCGUGCCAGCAGCCGCGGUAAUACGGAGGAUGCAAGCGUUAUCCGGAAUGAUUGGGCGUAAAGCGUCCGCAGGUGGCAAUGUAAGUCUGCUGUCAAAGCGUCUGGCUCAACCAGAUAAAGGCAGUGGAAACUACAUAGCUAGAGUAAGGUAGGGGUAGAGGGAAUUCCUGGUGUAGCGGUGAAAUGCGUAGAGAUCAGGAAGAACACCGGUGGCGAAAGCGCUCUGCUGGACCUURWCUGACACUGAGGGACGAAAGCUAGGGGAGCGAAUGGGAUUAGAUACCCCAGUAGUCCUAGCCGUAAACGAUGGAUACUAGGCGUUGCCCGUAUCGACCCGGGCAGUGUCGUAGCUAACGCGUUAAGUAUCCCGCCUGGGGAGUACGCAGGCAACUGUGAAACUCAAAGGAAUUGACGGGGGCCCGCACAAGCGGUGGAGUAUGUGGUUUAAUUCGAUGCAACGCGAAGAACCUUAC